GAUGAACGCUGGCGGCGUGCCUAAUACAUGCAAGUCGAGCGAACGGACGAGAAGCUUGCUUCUCUGAUGUUAGCGGCGGACGGGUGAGUAACACGUGGAUAACCUACCUAUAAGACUGGGAUAACUUCGGGAAACCGUAGCUAAUACCGGAUAAUAUUUUGAACCGCAUGGUUCAAAAGUGAAAGACGGUCUUGCUGUCACUUAUAGAUGGAUCCGCGCUGCAUUAGCUAGUUGGUAAGGUAACGGCUUACCAAGGCAACGAUGCAUAGCCGACCUGAGAGGGUGAUCGGCCACACUGGAACUGAGACACGGUCCAGACUCCUACGGGAGGCAGCAGUAGGGAAUCUUCCGCAAUGGGCGAAAGCCUGACGGAGCAACGCCGCGUGAGUGAUGAAGGUCUUCGGAUCGUAAAACUCUGUUAUUAGGGAAGAACAUAUGUGUAAGUAACUGUGCACAUCUUGACGGUACCUAAUCAGAAAGCCAGGGCUAACUACGUG
rnacentral:rRNA from 1 species